rnacentral:lncRNA from 1 species
GAUAAAGACUCAAAUCCUCAGCAGGGCCUCUAAGGCCCCUCAUGAUCUGGCCCCUGGAGACCUUACCAGUGCCCCCAGCCCUGUCCCGAGUGGCACCAGUCUGCUCACAGGCCCCCAGCCCAGGUUUCAGCUCAAAUAUCACUUCUUCAGGGAAACCUCCCUGGAUCCCCCUGACUGCUUCAGCCCUUCUGCCUAGUACAUCUCAGAGCACAUUUCCUUAUCAAAUAUCAUGAGCUGACAAGCCAUAGCAGGACGGCUAUCCCCUGAGAGAUAGGAGAGGAGGAGAAACAGCCUGACAGGGGCCUGGAGCAGCUGGCUGGCGUCAGUAAUUUCCUGCAGGAGACUCUGCUGGCCGAGCACACAUCACCCUUCUGUUGCUCCUCUGUAUUCUCCCUUGUGCUACUAAAAUACGCUAAUGUAACUCCUGGGCUGUGCUAAGCUAAAUGCAGUUAUUUAACCUCAUUUCUAUGGAACCCAGGUCUAAAGCAGCAACAUCUAUUUGGAACAAGAUGGGGAGGAGCAAGAGUGAAUUCAUGCUCUUCUUCAUGGAGGUGGAUGUUUCUGGAAGGAGGUUUGUGAUGUCCUUUGCAGGGACAUGGAUGGAGUUGGAAGCCCUUAUCCUCAGCAAACUAAUGCAGGAACAGAAAACCAAACACUGCAUGUUCUUACUUAUAAGUGGGAACUGAAUGAUGAGAACACAUGGACACAUAAGGGGAAAUGACACACACUGGGGCCUGUCAGAGCUGAGGGGUUGUGGGGAGAGGGAGAGAAUCAGGAAUAAUGGCUAAUGUAUGCUGUGCUUAAUAUCUAGGUGAUGGGAUGAUCUGUGCAGCAAACCACCAUGGCACACGUUUACCUAUGUAACAAACCUGGACAUCCUGCACAUGUAUCCUGGAACUUAAAAUAAAAGUUGAAGAAAAAAAAAAAAGAAAAAGUUUUGUGAAGUCUGGAGGUGUAAUGGACAGACACAGGCUUAGGGUGAGGCAGGCCCAUGUUCAGAUCCUUGCUUCCUCACUAAGCUAGCAGGGAGACUGGCUAUAUCACCGAGCCUCAGUUUCCUCACCUGUACAUCUGCUGUAGAAGUGGCAUAUCAUAUGCUGUCCUGGCUGUGACCUUUGGUAGCUCAUCACUGCCCUUCUUACUGUUCUCAGGGUAAACCCCUUUCCAGGCAGAGUUGCCAAGACACCCAGUAAAAUUUGAAUUUCAGAUAAACACUGAAUAAUUUUUUAGUAUAAUGAUGCUCCAAAUAUUGCAUGGGAUAUACUUAACACUAAAAAAAAAAUCAUUGUUUGUCUGAAAUUCAGAUUUAACUGGGCAACCUGCAUUUUUAAAUAAACUUUUAAUUUUAGAAUCAUUUUAGAUUUACAGAAAAAAAUAUAAAGAUCGUACAGAGUUACCACACACCCUGCACCCAGUUUCCCCUAUAACUAAUAUCUUACGUCGAGCCAGUGCAGUGGCGCACAUUUGUAAUCCUAGCUGCUCAGGAGGCUGAGGUGGGAGUAUUGUUUGAGCCCAGGAGCUCGAGGCUGCAGUGAGCCAUGAUUGCACCAUUGCACUCCAGCCUGAGUGACGGAGUAAGAUGCCAUCUUUUAAAAAAAAAUCUUAUGCCAGUAUGAUACAUUUGUCACAAUUAAUGAACUAAGAUUGAUAUAUUAUCAUUAACUAAAGUCUAUACUUCAUUAGAUUUCCUUAGUUUUUCCCCAGUGUCCUUUUCUAUUCCAGGAUCCUGUCCAGGACACCAUAUCAUAUUUAGUUGUCAAGUCUUCCUAGUUCCUCUUGGCUGUGACAGUUUUUUAGACUUCCCUUGUUUUUGAUGACCUUGACCGUUUUGAGGAGCACUGGUCUGGGGUUUUGUAGAAUGCCCCUCAAUUCAGCCUGUCAGAUGUUUUUCUCAUGAUUAGGCUGGGGUAUUAUUUUUUUGGGAGGAAGACCACAGAGGUCAAGAGCCAUUCUCUUCACAUCUCGUUAAGGGUCUGUACUGUCCAUAUGACUUACCACUGUUGAUGUUGACCUUGAUCACCUGGCUAAGGUAGUGUUCAUCAGGUUUAGCAACUGUAUUUUCAUUUGCUAAAUCUGUAACUCGAUUCCAGGCCUGUCAGUCUUUCAUGACCAGACCUUUGCUUACUGCUGCUGCCAUUUUUCUGCUCCAACCAUAGUGAACUGCUAACAAUUCCUCUAAUGAACUAUUCUCUGUCUCUCUUACUGCCAGGCCUUAGGGCUUGCUCUUUCCUUUGCCUGGAAUGUUCCACUCCCCCACAGCCUCCCAUCCACACCUCCCCUUCACCCGAUUAACUUACUUUUCAGUUGGGCUUCAGUGUUCCGCUUAGGUCUCACUCCUUCCGGGAAGAUUUCUUGCACCCUCCUCUGCCAAGACCAGGUUAGGUGUUGCUUCUCUGCCCUGGUCCUACUGUGUUGUGAUAUUUACCAUCCUGUGGUUGUGAACUGUUUGCUUGUCUCCCUGACCCCAGUGCAUCCCUGACAUCUUACACAGUGCCUUGUUGCAACUCAAUAAAUAAUUGCUGAAUAAAUGAAUGGUUACACCAGGCACUUCAGGUAAAGCCUUUAACACACUACCUGCCUUGUAAACAGUAGAUGCUCAGUAAAUGCUUGUCUUUUUCAAUGUAGGAAAAAUAAUCUUCCCUAGAUCUGAGCAACUGUAAUAAGUUUGUGCUCGCCCGACACCCGCAACACAUGUCCCUACCUGGAGAAGAGAUUCUGGAACAGUGGUCUCCUAGGAUUCCCUGAGAGCCACAGUUACCUGUAUCAAAGUAUCAAGGAGGCCACUUAAUGACAGAGAUAUUAGGGUAAGUAGGCUACUUUCCGUCAGUUUGCAGAUUAAAAAGGCAUCUUUCUCCCAGUGGAGAAACUGAAUUAUGAACCCCUUCGCCCAGAUUUCCAUAGUUGGACGCGCUGACCCAUUAUUUUUAGUGAAAGGGACAAAGGGACCCACCUCCUUCUCUUUUUGCUGCCCAUGUGCCACACACAUGUAAAUGACAUGUGUACCUAUUGUUGCUUGUCCUUGAUGAUGAGUACACUUGUACAUUGAUAUAUUUAUUAGUGUUUUGCUUUUCACUAAUCCAGCAUAGUUGUGACCCCACCCCUGAGACCUAAAGGAAGGAGACACCUCAUAGGGGGUCUCAGGAAUCUCUGAUGAACCUUAGGACUAAUUAUAAUUCUUUCAUUUAUUAUAACUUCAUGCCAGGUAUUUUAUCUGCCUCACCUCUAAUCCUCUCAAUAACCUUGCAUGUUUUUAUUCAUCCCGUAUUACAAAUGAGAAAGCUAAGGUUUGGGUGCUUAAGAAAUUUUCCCCAAGUUUUUUUUGUGGUGGAGCCAGCUUGGAGCUAGGGCAAUAGACUUCAGAGUCUCAGCUCCAUCCUCUCCAUGGUUCAGAAAGUUCUCUAGUUCUGUAAGAGACAGCCAACAUCCCCCAAGGGCUUGUGCUCAUUGGAAUGGCUCUCGGGUCCACUCCUCCCUUUGUAUCCCCAGGUCACCUCACUAGAGCAGACCUCCAUCAGUCAGUGUUUACCCACCUUCCAGAGCCUCCUUCCUGGACUCUUGCCCCCGGAUUCCCCACCCAUAGCACUCUCACACUGCCAUCGCCCAACUCAGGAUCCCAAGAAUGCCCAUUUUCAGCCUUAUAAAUCCUUUGCCUUGCUUCCAAGACCCUAUGGUCUAUUUCUUUUCCAAGCCUUCUCUCCGUGCAUCAGAUUCUUCAUGAAACUUACACUGACUAGUCCCCCACCCAUCUCCCUUUCCUUGGAUCUUCAUGGCACCUAGGUAUGCAAGGCAUAAAGUAGUGUAGAAUGCCCUUCUGGCUUGUGUGGAACCACAGGGGAGUCCCCUGGGUUUCUAAUAUGGUUUUCCCAUCUGGAUUGACACCCCCGAAGGACAAAAACCUCUUGUUAAAAAAGUCAACUUUAUUGAGGUAUAACAUACAUACACCCUGUUUUAAGUGUUGAGUUUGAUAAGGUUUGACAAAUGUAUACACCCAGGUAACCACCGUCACAACCAAGAUAUAGAACAUUUCUAUCACCCCAGAAAUACCUCUGAGCCCCUUUGUAGUCAAUUCCUCCACCCCCGACCCAGGAAGCCACUUGUUGGAUUUCUAUUAAUAUAGAUUAGUUUUGCCUGCCGUUGAACUCCACAAAAAUGCAGUCACAAAGGGUGUAGUCUUUUGUGUCAGCCUAUUUUGGUUAGCACGAUAUUUUAAAGAUUCCUCCAUACUGUUUAUUACUUUCUUCUUGCUGAGUAGUAUUCUAUGGUAGAGACUAUACUACAACUUGAUUGUCCAUGUUGACUAAAUUUGAGGCUGUUUCACAUUUUUGGCUAUUGUGAAUAAAGUAGCUAUGAAUGUUUACACACAAGCCUUUUGUGAAUGUGUUUUCAUUUCUU